CAUCUUGUGACGUCAGGUCGCCCCUCAGCCUGACUGCUCGGGAGCGGGGCUAGAUCCGACCAGUUUCCGUCCUAGCCCGUCGCCAUUAAAGGAGUGUUUCCGCCUCAUCCACAUCUCCACCUCUAUACACAAUAAUUAUAAGAUGGAGCUUGUUGCGGCAUACAUUUUCAAUCGCAAACUGUGCAGGGAAAGGAGAUAUCGGGACCCACUCAACGCACUACAUGUCAGUGAUGAGCACCUGUUGCAGGUGUAUAGAUUUCCCCGUCAGGAAAUCAUCAGGCUCUGUGAUGAGUUUCGCCCCCACCUGGAAAGGAGAACCAGGAGGGCACAUGCACUCCCAACACACACCCAGGAGACACUGCGUAUCCUCUGGAGCCAUUCCUGAUGACCCCAGUUGCACGGCCGACAACACCUGGGGAGGAGCGCUACAACAAGUCAUCACAGGACAAGAUGCGUUGUCGAACGGACCUUUGGGAUCCUCAAGUCAAGGUGCAGGUGCCUACAUAAGUCAGGAGGAAGUUUGCAGUAUGACCCCAAGAAGACUAUGAAGAUUGCGACUUCUUGUAUGCUCCUGCACAACUACUGAGUGGAUCGCUGCAGAAGAAGUAACAGUUCAGCCUGUGAGAAACAACAGACUGAUUCCUGGUCAAGUUGUCAGGCAGGAAUUUAUUAGAAACUUCUUUUCCUGAGUAUAGAUUGCAUAUGGUGCACUGGUGGCCGAGUGGUCAGCGUGUGUAUGUGGUGAUCCAGAGGACUCGACUCC